rfam:Triticum aestivum genome assembly, contig: Triticum_aestivum_CS42_TGACv1_scaffold_030791_1BL
GGUAUACUCCCUCCGUCCAGAAAUACUUGUCAUCAAAUUAGAUAGAAAGGGAUGUAUCUAUCAAAAUGAAUAGAAAGGGAUGUAUCUAGUUCUAGAUACAUUCCCUUUUAUCCAAUUUGAUGACAAGUAUUUUCGGACGGAGGGAGUACUAU